GGGCCAAUCAGAUUUCGUGGGUACCCAUCUGGAUGUUCAGAGCAUGAUUCAAAAUUAAGAAAACAUUACUCUGUAAGGAUUGAGGCAGUUUCUUUGUCUUAUUUUAUAUGAAAUAUAUUUGUUUAAAACUCAGUAAUCAUUAUGGCACUGCACUUUUAGAAGACCAGACAUCUUAACAAGCAUUUGCAUUUAAGAUGUUCUCGGGGAGGAUGAUUUACAAAGCCCUUUAAAUGAGAAUUGUGUGACUGGUUUACUAUAAACUUCAAUUAAUGGUCUGUAAGAGGACAAGACUAUCAUCAUUUCCCUUUGAGGCAGCAACAAGAGUUGUUCAUCUUUAUCUACAACAACCAACUGCUAUUUUAACAUUCAUCUUUGUCAGUAAAAAGGUACAUUUUCUCAGACAACAGUCUCAAAGUGCUUUAUUUUAAGGCUCUUGUUGACAAAUCUGAGUCACAGCAGCAUUUUUGGAAGAAAUCAGAGAGAACUUCUGAGGUUUGUGGGAUGAACAACAGUAUAGUGUACAGUACAGUAUACUGAGUUGGACCUGAGUGAUCAGGCUGGUUGGUAUGGAUGUGUGAGUUUGGUCAGGUGUUCUGGGACCUGGCUAUUCACAGCUCUGAAAGUGAUGGUGAGAAUUUCAAACUUCUGUAUUGACUGUAGAGGAGCAAAGAGAGUUGUGAAGCAGUGGAUGAAAAAAGAGACUUUCUGGCAAAACUGACCUCUUUGGAUCUGUUAGUUUCCCCCAAAAGGCUAAAAUCCUUAUUAUGUCCCUCAUUAAAAAACUAACAAACAUUCACACAUUUGUUUUUACUGAUUAGUGCAGAAUUAAUUGUUGUUUUUUUGGGUUACUUUACACAGAAAAUCUGCGGUUCUAUUCAAAGGGGUUGGUUUCUGCCAAAAAGUGGUCUCCGAAGUUUGAAAAAGCAGGAUAAUAAGGCUAAUAAGGGACUCGUGGGUUUGAUGUCUUUUUUUAUUGAAGAGUGGACUUCUGAUGCUUCCCUUAGAUUUGUUGGCAGUAGCGGUAUGACCACCAAACAGACAUUUUUUUUUUGCCAAGAACGAAACUGUGCACAUGAUCUCAAAUGGGGAACAGCUCACAGAUUGCAGCCCUGAUGCUCCUGCCAGGGUUUCUGAUCACUUUCACUCACUCACUGGGAAAUUCUGCUGUUGCUGACUAGGCUGCUAAAUCCAUGGCAGCAGGGAGUGAAUGAAGAAGGAAAAUCCUCAUACUGAUACCCCCAUAAACUUUUACAUAAACCACAUAAGAAAGAAAAUACAGCAGAUAUGAUAGACUAAAAAAUCAACGAGUAGUUCCUGCCUUAACCUCGCAUUUCUCAUGAGUUGGAUUUGAAACAGGUAGCUUCAGUUUUACCCAAAGGUGACAUUCAAACUGGGUUUUGAACUGAACAACUUUGCUCUCAGUCAAACUAUUAAAUACCUGCCCUACAAUGCUCGCUGGUUUAGUUAUUCUUGUUUACCUGGGUUGAAAUUUAACUUCUCUUCAGCUUUUUCAAGUUGAAAAAAAUAUCAUUUGGACAGCAUUUUACUAUAACUUUACUAUAACAGUGCAAUUUAGAUUAAUUUAAUCUGACAACACCACAACAUUACAAUCUGAGAGACGAUGUUGAUUUUUUCAUCACAAACCAAUUUUUAAAAAUAUAACUUGUAUAUAUCUGCAUUUCUUGAGCAUUUUUUAAAUCUUUUUUUGUUUUCCAAAAUACAUUUUUUUUUUUUUUAAGAAAUUGUUUUGUUUUCAAAAAUAUAUUUAGGCUUCAUGAGAAACAUUUAUUGAGUUCUGCUAAAUGUUUUCAGGUUUUAAUUAAAGAACUAUAUUUUUUUUGUUUCAUGAAAUAUUUAUUUAUUGUCUUGCUGAAAUAUUUGCACCAUUGACCCUCAGGGCCACCAUAUUUUGGGGAUGUGCUGGGGACUCUUUCUUAACUUUACAGGUCAGUGUUUUGGUCAAAAGCCAUUUUUUAUAAUCUGUUAUUUUGAAUACUGACAGCUGUUAACUGAGUGACAACAACUUUGUAGAAUGGCAACAGUGGAUGAGGAUUCUAUGGAGCUUUAACGUGCCUUGAAGGGACAAAUGCUGAAAGGAAGCAUUUCAGAUAGAGGCUAGAAUGAGGCCAAAGACAGCAAUAGGUUGAAAAUAAAGGAUCUCUGAAUCAUGUCAAGUUAAUAGCAAGCUAACCUUAAGGAAAGUCUAUCCUGGGCAUUAUUUGCUAAAUGAAACUCUUUAAUAUUGUUUCUCACCAGGUGAAGUGUAUAAAAAGUAUCUUGAAAAGCGUGUGUUUUCUUGUGGUUAUGAUGUUAAACAGACGACUUGUGCCUCUCAAAACAGUAAAGAGGAAAUGAAAACUGUUCUAAAUAGAAACUUUGAUCAAGUCACAAUUUUUAGAUCUAAACAAGACAAAUUCAGAACUUUACCAGUGAUGUCAAAGUUACAUUAGCUGGAAUUUGUCAACGCAGUUGUCCUCAGAAAUCUCAUUAGUAUCAAAUAAUAAACAUGUAAUUUACAAAAGGAAGUGAAUACAAUCAAGUGGAGGAAGCCCCUCCAAAAACUUUAUUUAUAUAUUGAAAAAUCCUGUCUGCAUGUUCAAAGAAGCAUGGUUCAUGAUCAUAUAUAAUGAUGAUUGGGGAAGUAAUUAUUGCAUCAGUUUUCUUUUGUUCCUCCUCUGUUCUAAACUUUCUAAUUCUAUUCACCUAAAAGUUUUAGUUAGUUAUUGAAAUGAUUGUGAAUCCUUAAUUUGAUGUGUUUUCAAAUGUGACCACCACACAGUUACUAAAAAAACAAUCUGCAUUUAAAACACAUUAGGCUCAUGCACAGCCUCUCAAUGAAACCACUUCAGCCUUAAUCUGAUGACAUAUCUGACAGCUCACCCUCCCUCCUCCCUGUAAGUCAUACACUGAUAACAAUGGCCUGGACAAAAAAAAAUCCUCUGAUGGUGAGUGCUUAUUGGAGCCCGUCUAGUGUAGUCUGCAAUAUGGAAUGGGACAAAAGGAGGGCAUUUUAAUGGUUUAAAAGGCCGGCCCUGAGAGGACACAUGGGGGAGGGGAAUGGGACUCUCCUUUAGCUGGUCAGCCUCUCUAUUACUACAAUUACAGCCCAGUGCUUUACAUACCUGUUUUUUGCACUGUGUUUUACUCCCCCAGCCCCCUCUACAGCUAAUCAAUGUCUGUGCACCCUGCCGCCCGAAUAUUAUGGACUGCAGUGGUGCUAAAACACUUCAUAACUCAGCUCAGGCCUAGGGGAAUAGCAUGACGGGUGUGGCAAGAAGACACAUGAAGAAAAAAAUGUUGGUUUCAGCGAGCGCUGCCUCAUUAUCAUAUUUUUUCUGUAACAUUACCCAUUCCCUAAGGAAAUCUAAAUGUGCACAAAUAUAGCUUGAUGCUUUUUUGCUGUCAUGCAUGAAGACAGAGAGGCUUGACUGCAGCAGAUGCAUUAUUAAAGCCUUAUUGUGUUGCCAUUCUUUACAUGGGCUAUACUGUUAUGGAUCAUUUCUGUUUGACCCUGUUUGGUGCGUCUGUGGCCUGAUAGAUUGUCCUUAAAAUUGAGGAUGGGGGUGUAAAAGAAUAGACCUAGAGGCUGAGCAAAAAAAAGGUAAAAGAUGCAGGGUGGGAAGGUGGAUAAAAACGCAGUAGGAUCAAGGUCAGAGCAGGUUUGACAGACCAUGUGUCUGCAGGGUGUCGUCCACAACUGCUCUGGCCUCUUGACCCACCAGGGAAUGGAUGAGGCUGCUCUCCUUUU
rnacentral:lncRNA from 1 species